rnacentral:snoRNA from 1 species
GCCGACGCACUGCGCCCGGCCGCAGUCCCGGGCGGGGCUUUCUUCGUCUGCCACAGAAACAUUCCAGGGCGCUGUGACCGCCUUGACCGGUCAAGGGCGCUGCCACUGCCCGGGGACACGGUU